AACAGUGGGGAAUUUUGGACAAUGGGCGCAAGCCUGAUCCAGCAAUGCCGCGUGAGUGAAGAAGGCCUUCGGGUUGUAAAGCUCUUUUGUCAGGGAAGAAACGGUGAGGGCUAAUAUCUCUUGCUAAUGACGGUACCUGAAGAAUAAGCACCGGCUAACUACGUGCCAGCAGCCGCGGUAAUACGUAGGGUGCAAGCGUUAAUCGGAAUUACUGGGCGUAAAGCGUGCGCAGGCGGUUUUGUAAGUUUGUCGUGAAAGCCCCGGGCUCAACCUGGGAAUUGCGAUGAAGACUGCAAGGCUUGAAUCUGGCAGAGGGGGGUAGAAUUCCACGUGUAGCAGUGAAAUGCGUAGAGAUGUGGAGGAACACCGAUGGCGAAGGCAGCCCCCUGGGUCAAGAUUGACGCUCAUG
rnacentral:rRNA from 1 species